rnacentral:lncRNA from 10 species
AGUCGGGGGUCUCCCUAUGUUUCCCAGGCUGGCCUCGAACUCCUGACCUCAAGUGAUCCUCCCACCUCAGCCUCCCCGAGUGCUGGGAUUAAAGACGUGAGCCACGGCACCUGGCCUGAAUUUUCCUCAAAUUCAAAAAAUCCUGAUGAAGGUUUGGCUAAAAUCUUUGGUGAGUUACCCCACUCCCUGUGGAACCUCAGGCUGGAUUUGAAGAGUUGCGUGCAUGGUCCUCAUUGUCUCCCAGGUAACCUGUUCCCGCUGCUGUGAAGGGAAGGCAGGUGCUCUUCCUUGAGGCUAGAAUCUGUCUACGUGUCACAGUCUCAGGAAAUUAAGCAAAACAGAUGAUAAACACCUCAAAAGGACCCUACUGAGCAUCAGUGGAGCAGAGCAGGGCCAUGUGGGACUGCGGCGUCAGAUGCCACCUCACACUAGCUGUGACACACCUGCCUCGCCAGUUUCUGCUCUGAGGCCCCAAAGCCGAGCUGAACCUCCUCCAGGGGUUCUCAGCCCUAACUGAGCAUGAAAACCCCUGGGGCAAUCCUCUUUUUAACAAUUGAGACAUUCCACACACACCCCACAUCAGAUUUUGGGGUGUGGGGAUAGACCUUCACAUUUGUAGUUUUCUAACCCUCCAGGGGACACUAGGCUGAGACUCAUUGGUCUCCACUCUGAACCUUCCACUGAACAUGUGAGAAAAACUAAGGCCCAGGGAAGUCUUUAGCAGAGAGCUGAGACGGAGAAAAGGGUUCUGAACCACAGCUGUCUGCUGAAGGAAGCUGUCCAAAGGCCAGUGAAGUCUCUCCUGAGGGUGCCUGGGCUGUGCAUCAGGAGUGAAGGUUGAGGGUCACCUUAGGUGUGAGAAGGAGCAACUGGGAGAGUGGCGCUGAUGCUUCCCCCCGGGUUAGGAGGCAUUUGGAUCACAGAGCGAUGCCUGUUCAUUCCUGCUUGCAAGGGAGCAGAUCUCUCGACACCCGAUGGGCCUCUAUUCCGUUCCGGCAGCUGUCCGUGUCAGGAGCGCUGGGCUUGCUCCUCCCCACGGGAGCCAUCACAGAGGCCUCGGGCAGUCUGCAUAGACAACUGCCUGGCAGGUGACCAGGAGGGGAUGCAUGAGCAGAUGCAGGUAGCACUCGCAGUCCCCCUAGCUGUGCCCUCAGCACCUGCUGUCUAGGAGGCAGAAGCCUUGUUCUCGGCCUUGCAGGUGACCCCAGUGUCUCUGAAUUCGGCCCCAUAUGUGUAGGAGGGGAGUGAUUGCAUCUGAAGAUGGGAGUCUGGUUGGGGGUUUGGGAAGCUCCCAUCACCCCUCAAGAGUCCACUGACCAGCCCAGCUCACACCAGGUGGGCCUUGGCACUGGAGGCCACGGCUCAACUCUGCAGUUCCCUCUGGGCAGCAUUUCCAGGGACUCGUAGGUCAGCAUGGUCAUCAAGGACAGGUGGUGAGAGCAGCUCCUCAUUGUCCUGGUGACCCCGAUGGUUCAUUUUCUGGUGUCUCUGUGGUGAGCUCCUGUUACAUCAAGCGAGUGGAAACCACCGAGGACCAACAGCCCUGGAAAUGCACUGAGAAUGCAGGAUGAGUGGGCUUUGUGAGGACUGUUUUCUGUGACUUAGCAAGGAAAGCCUGGAAGGGAAAGUAAAACUGCUUCUUCCCAGGGAAGCCAGAAACCUGAGAACUUAAAAGGGAAGGAGAACUUAAUAUAUUUCAAAAAUGUAACCCUUGUGAAUUAGCAACAGCUUUAUAAACAAAGAGAUUUCCGAGCUUAUAGAAUCUAUUCUGCUUUGUUUCUGCCCCCAUGGCUCCUACCCCUGUUUUUGUGGGUACAAUUUUCAUAUAGAACAUUUUUACACAAGCUUCAAAACUCUCUGAGGACAGCUUUCCCCUUUGUGUCUGUCGGGUCCCAGGCAGUCACAUCCCAGGAAGUGCUGGGGUUGGGCUCCUUGCUCCACAUCCUUCUUCAGUGGCACGAAGCGUGGGGUGGAGUGUGUGAGUCAUGUGUGAUCUUGGUGUGGGCUAUGGCUGGUCUGCAGCACCCCUUCAAUGACUGCUUCAAGGGCUUUUCAUGAUGCUUGUAGCUCAUGAGCUAGUGUUUCCUAGAUGCUGUUUCCAGGUGUCUUGCAUGUCACACACUGGCCUACCAGGGCUGGAGUGAGAUCAUGAGCGCCAGAUUGUUGGUGAAGGAAGUUGACAGAGACAUCGAAUGUCGGUGAACAGGAGUGACCUUGGGUCUCAAUAAAUACUGUGGUCAACUGAAUCCAGAACCCACCCUUACCAGCAGGGCCCACUUCUUCCCCAGCAGGCCGAGCUCUUCCCCUCCUGUCUUCCCUGGCCCUUGCUUUGUAGCUCUGUGUGGCUGUGUCAUGUCUGGUUGUAUCUGUAUAUACUUCUGCCUCUCCCGCUAUCUAGAUGGCUCGGGGAGGCACACCACACACCAGGUCACCUUCCUCUCUGAACCCCCAGCACCUCAUACUGUUUCUGUGCAGAGAUAAGGCUGGGUGAAAGCUUGUGUGAAUGAUCUGAAGUCUUCUACUCUAGGCCAGUCUCCAGGAGCAUUAUGAUCUUUAGGAGGGUGGGCUUGGUUCCUCUGUACAAUAAUGGGUCAUAAAACUGAGUGGUCAAGAUCAUCCCGGUGAGGGCAGUCCGUGUGUUGCCAUAGUUGCUGUACCGGUUAAGAAUGCACCUGGCUGCAAUUUCCUGAAAACCUGACGUAUAGUGGCUUAAACAAAGAGUGGUUUAUUUUCCUUCUGUCAUAGCAAUCUGGGGGAGGCCACUGUGGCUUUGGCGCAGGAGGUCGGGAAAGGCCCGCUUCUCUGAUAUCAUUGGGGGCCUCCCCAGUGCUUGUGUGGCAGAAUGACAAGAGGAAGAAGAAGGAGAAUUAUGGCACUGAGUAUCAUGAGAUUUGGGGUCAUAUAUCUUUAGUGGGCGGUGUUUGCUGCCCCAAAUGUCUCAUGCCAUUAAAAUGUUCUGGAAAUGAUUUAGGUAGUUGGAGUUUCCUUCCCAAAGACAAGGCAUUUACAGCAUGAUGUCCAAUAUCCAUUGAGUUUGUGUCAUGCAUUCAUUGUAUUCAUAGUCUGCUUUAGGUACUUAGCAAAAUAUUGCUGAUAUUAACAUGCCUUUGUUUGCUUCACUGGAGAUGAAAUUGUGCUCCAAGUGUUUUCCAAGGUUCCGUAUGACCCAUCAUUUGAUGAAACAAGAACAGCAGUCAGAUCCAUUACAAAGAGAGACACACAAAAAAAUACACCAUGUAGGCCUUUCUACCCGUUUUCCUGUAGCAUUAAACCUGCCAUGUGCACAAAUCUCUCAAUGCUUAUGCAUAUUGUCUGUCAACAGACUAUGUGAAAAUGAGCUUAGCCCCUGGUGUUGUGUUGGAACUUCAGAUGCUUGCAGACACUUCAUGAAUGCUCUGUGACACUCAGAAUAGGCUAUUCCCAACAGAAGAGCUUGAACAAUGCUGCAUUUGCAUCAGGUUCAAAUGAGCGAGAGGAACAUUUGGCUAAAAUAUUUGGAACCAGCAUUGCUUGGAAUUCUCCUAAACCAGAAUAUUUCCUUGGCAGUGUGGACAAAAUUCCUGAUAAAGAUCACCUUUCAGAGGAGAAGAAUUUUAAAGAAUCCUGUCUGUUCGACAGGGAUUUAAGAGAGCAGUUAACUACUAUAGAUAAAGAAACACUUCAAGGAGCAGCUAAACCAGAUCUCCUCUGGCAAACACGACAUAUAAUAUUUUUAUAAUGGAUGGAAAGACAUGGUGGCACAAUUCUGAAGAAAAAAAUUUCACAAAACUUGCAAAAAAACAGAAACAGUUGAAGAGCAGCUCCUGUGUCUAAGCCAGGUCGUGGGGCCGUCAAACCAGGACUUGAAACCACAAUGCGAGGACAUUCUCCAUCUGCGCACCACAGGGAGGCAAUUCCAUUUCUGCCCGGGAGGUGUAUUCUACAAAAACGUCUGCUUCCCAUCCCAAUUUGAAUGGACCAAGAAAAACUGCUUUACCAUAGGACACUUGUGGCAAUAUGGCACCGAUGGCUGGCGUCGGUGAACCCGACAGACUAUGGAUUUAUCAUUUAAUAAAGCAUUGAUUCAUUUUUUCAGUCAUUCAUUGAACAGAUAUUAAUAGACCACCUCACAUGCUGACAAUAUCAAAAUACAAUGAGGAAACUAACAGUGACCCAGGCAUGCAUUCUUCCCCGAGCAAGAUCACAGUCCAUGGUGUGAGCACAACCAUACUAAAUAGCUUUUAUGGGAGGUGGGAGUACAGAAAGUAUUAUAUCUGCAAAGAAACUGCUAAGAAUUGUGGGAGCGCCCCAGGAGGUGAUUUCCUGCUUGCGUGACCAGCACAAAGAAAUGGGGUAAUUGAGAGUGUCAUGAAGUGGGGUUAUUUAUUUAUUGAGUC